UGAGAAUAAGGGAUUUAACGUUAAUUCACACCUGCUUUCAACCUGCUCUGUUCGGAUUCUUAAAUCCACUAGAAUCAUUUUAAAGUUCCCAAAGAUAGGCAAGAUCACAAAUCCUUCUGUUUCUCCCUCCAGGAAAUCCCAGGAUCUCUAAUACUCUGCUUUCAAGACUAAAAUUCUUAGGACACUUUCACAGCUGCUGCAGAGCUCAAGAAAGUCAGCUUGGCAUUGAUAUGGCACGUAUUCAUUCUCGAAACGCAAAGCUGACAGCUCACCACCUGUGACCCCUCGCGAGCCUGCGCCCAUCAGCUCUGUCUCGGGGCCCAGGAGGAACAUUCUGGAAGGGAAACUGUCAGGCAGAGCUCCGUUGGGCUCUAAGCCUCAUAGGACAACCUCGCACCUACCUCCUAUAAUCCGAGAGAGCUGCCCUGUGCAGACCCCACAGGAGCCAGCUAGAGAUCUCUGAUGGAAGCCUCAGGCCUUUCCUGGGAUAAUACGGAAUCCAGCAUGGGCGUCUUGAAAAACAGAACACACUGAAACCUACAGAAGCAGCUGUCAGGGAAGGCUUUCUUUCAAAGCUGGAGGAAUUAUAUGGCAAGGGUGGACAAAGAUGCCUAAGAAAUAUUAGCGUCUAUGAAGAAUGUGAGGCAGCCUCCCAACCCCCACACAGAUGGCGCAGACUGCUGUACCAGAAACCAGAAGAAAAGGAGUCAGGCUUGAAUCGAAGAAAUGUCUCUGGCAAACGGGCCUUCAAAUUGAGGGCUGAAGCCUGUCUUUUAAGAACAAACUCAUUCAUUCUAAGAAAAAGCCUAACUAAUUGAAAGGUCUAAAUUCUGCAGGUUCUUCUGUGAUCCCGGGAAAUGCUAGACUGUGACUCUCUUGACAAAGGACAUGAACUGGAACUCUCCGGCAGACACCAGGCCCUGAAUAAAUAAAUGCUUGCUGAAUAAAUGAAUCAUGUUACCUGCUCGGCCAGGAUCUGCUGUUGUUGUUGCUGCUGCCUCUGCUCC